GAAGGGCAAAGAGUGCGAUAUC
rnacentral:miRNA from 1 species